AGUGAGCGCUGGCGGUAGGCCUAACACAUGCAAGUCGAACGGCAGCACAGUAAGAGCUUGCUCUUACGGGUGGCGAGUGGCGGACGGGUGAGGAAUACAUCGGAAUCUACUUUUUCGUGGGGGAUAACGUAGGGAAACUUACGCUAAUACCGCAUACGACCUACGGGUGAAAGCAGGGGAUCUUCGGACCUUGCGCGAUUGAAUGAGCCGAUGUCGGAUUAGCUAGUUGGCGGGGUAAAGGCCCACCAAGGCGACGAUCCGUAGCUGGUCUGAGAGGAUGAUCAGCCACACUGGAACUGAGACACGGUCCAGACUCCUACGGGAGGCAGCAGUGGGGAAUAUUGGACAAUGGGCGCAAGCCUGAUCCAGCCAUACCGCGUGGGUGAAGAAGGCCUUCGGGUUGUAAGGCCCUUUUGUUGGGAAAGAAAAGCAGCAGGUUAAUACCCCGCUGUUCUGACGGUACCCAAAGAAUAAGCACCGGCUAACUUCGUG
rnacentral:rRNA from 1 species